rnacentral:tRNA from 1 species
GCCCAGGUGGAGAAAUUGGUAGACGCGCGGGAUUCAAAAUCCCGUUCUGGCAACAGAGUGUGGGUUCGAUUCCCCCCCUGGGCACAA